CGGGCUGUAGGAUAACGGCAGUCCUUACCCUUGGGGUGGGUAUAGUCCGGGUUCAAUUCCCGGCAGCCCGACCA
rnacentral:tRNA from 1 species